UGCAAUGCGGCAGCUUACACAUGCACUCGAGCGGUAGCACAAGGGAGCUUGCUCCCUGGGUGACGAGCGGCGGACCGGUGAGUAAUGUCUGGGAAACUGCCUGACGGAGGGGGAUAACUACUGGAAACGGUAGCUAAUACCGCAUAACGUCGCAAGACCAAAGAGGGGGACCUUCGGGCCUCUUGCCAUCAGAUGUGCCCAGAUGGGAUUAGCUAGUAGGUGGGGUAAUGGCUCACCUAGGCGCCGAUCCCUAGCUGGUCUGAGAGGAUGACCAGCCACACUGGAACUGAGACACGGUCCAGACUCCUACGGGAGGCAGCAGUGGGGAAUAUUGCACAAUGGGCGCAAGCCUGAUGCAGCCACGCCGCGUGUGUGAAGAAGGCCUUCGGGUUGUAAAGCACUUUCAGCGAGGAGGAAGGUGGUGAGCUUAAUACGCUCAUCAAUUGACGUUACUCGCAGAAGAAGCACCGGCUAACUCCGUGCCAGCAGCCGCGGUAAUACGGAGGGUGCAAGCGUUAAUCGGAAUUACUGGGCGUAAAGCGCACGCAGGCGGUUUGUUAAGUCAGAUGUGAAAUCCCCGGGCUCAACCUGGCCCUGCAUUUGAAACUGGCAAGCUAGAGUCUCGUAGAGGGGGCUAGAAUUCCAGGUGUAGCGGUGAAAUGCGUAGAGAUCUGGAGGAAUACCGGUGGCGAAGGCGGCCCCCUGGACGAAGACUGACGCUCAGGUGCGAAAGCGUGGGGCGCAAACAGGAUUAGAUACCCUGGUAGUCCACGCUGUAAACGAUGUCGAUUUGGAGGUUGUGCCCUUGAGGCGUGGCUUCCGGAGCUAACGCGUUAAAUCGACCGCCUGCGCCAGUACGGCCGCAAGGUUAAAACUCAAAUGAAUUGACGGGGGCCCGCACAAGCGGUGGAGCAUGUGGUUUAAUUCGAUGCAACGCGAAGAACCUUACCCUACUCUUGACAUCCAGAGAACUUUCC
rnacentral:rRNA from 1 species